AAACCGGCAUAUAGGAUUCCAGACUGGGACAUUCUGUUUCUUAGUUUUCUCAAAAAUUCUGUAGUUUUAAAAAAAAUAAUCUAAUUGGGAUGCUUGUUAAUAUUGAUAGUAAUUGAAGAAUUGGAGAAUUUGAACCGAUUUGCUAAUUGCAAAGGUUUUUUUCGAUUUGGGUUUCAUGAUCAUAUACGGUGGAGAUUGUGAAGAUUCGUGUAUGCAUAUAUGUUUUCUUUUUCAUACUGCUAGGUGCUUGCAUUCAUUAGUAAGGAUUGGGUAUAUUUCCUUUAAAAUAGUUGGGAUUGUUCGUGUUCUGUUGGGUAUGAUUUGUAAAUGGAUUUUAAUUGGAGGUUUUAGUUAAACCUAUGGUAUCUCUGUAUAUCAGCUGAAUGGGAAAUUUUAUGUGAUUAUUAAUAUAUCCAUGUGGGGAGAUACUCGGAUUUUGGUUAAAGAUAGAAUUAUAUUCAUCUGUAUUACCUAGCCUUACAUGAAGGGAAAUUGAGUUGUAAUCUUUUAAGUGAAUAAGUUCUAGUCGCAACCCUUAGAUUAACAUAAUUUUGAUUUGCUUAUUGGUUAAUGGUUAUUAUGAGACUGAAAAAAAGAUGCAUUGGAUAUAUUCUCUAAUGAUGUCAUAACCAAUUUCUUCUUCAUUUAUUGUCUUAGUUGAUUUCUCAAUGCAUUCUGGUUCGGAACAAUUGUUCUUUUUCUUUUGAUUUUUUUUGUUUUGGGUUUAGGGUUUUUAGGGUUUAUAUUUAUAGAGUGAAUGAUGAAAUAAAGAAGAGCCGAUUGUUUGUUUUGAGUUCUCACUUAACCCGUUUGCCUCCGGCAUCUUCCCUCAUGGCUUCGGAGAAAGAAGCUGCCAUUGCUGCUGCUCCCUCUGAUUCUUCUACCAUAUUUGACAAAAUCAUCAACAAGGAAAUCCCAGCUACCGUAGUGUAUGAAGAUGAUAAGAUCAAGAAAAGAGGAAAUCGGAAUUGGAUCGGGGGAAAUCUAAAGUUUUCGAAUGGUCGUCUCUAUUCGUUUGUCUUCAUCCGAGAUUUUGGAAGCUAGUUAUGAGCUCAGGGAUCAUCAGAGAAAUCCGUCACACUAUCGAUUACUAUUUCGGUAUUUUUAAAAGCUUGAAUAAUGAACCUAUGGCAUGUAUAGGCUAGUACUUAUUUUGUUUGGUUUUGAAAUUGUAAAUAUAAAGCCAUGCGAAAAUAGCUAGAAGUGAUGUUUAUGUUUCAUGAUGGAAAAUUAUGUUUCAUGGUAUGUAUGUAUGUAUGUGAUGUGCUUAGUAUAUGAUUUCGGCAUGAAGUAGUGAAAUACUUAUGGCUUA